UGCAAGUCGAACGGUAACAGGUCUUCGGAUGCUGACGAGUGGCGGACGGGUGAGUAACGCGUAGGAAUCUGCCCAUCUGUGGGGGAUACCAGUUGGAAACGACUGUUAAUACCGCAUAAUAUCUGCGGAUUAAAGGUGGCCUUUGCGCUGCCGCAGAUGGAUGAGCCUGCGUUGGAUUAGCUAGUUGGUGGGGUAAGGGCCUACCAAGGCUACGAUCCAUAGCUGAUUUGAGAGGAUGAUCAGCCACAUUGGGACUGAGACACGGCCCAAACUCCUACGGGAGGCAGCAGUGGGGAAUAUUGGACAAUGGGGGAAACCCUGAUCCAGCAAUGCCAUGUGUGUGAAGAAGGCUCUAGGGUUGUAAAGCACUUUAGUUGGGGAGGAAAGCCUGUGAGUUAAUAGCUUGCAGGAAGGACGUUGCCCAAAGAAUAAGGACCGGCUAACUCCGUGCCAGCAGCCGCGGUAAUACGGGGGGUCCGAGCGUUAAUCGGAAUUACUGGGCGUAAAGGGUCUGUAGGUGGUUUGUUAAGUCAGAUGUGAAAGCCCAGGGCUCAACCUUGGAACUGCAUUUGAUACUGACAAACUAGAGUAUGGUAGAGGAAUAGGGAACUUCUGGUGUAGCGGUGAAAUGCGUAGAGAUCAGAAGGAACACCAAUGGCGAAGGCAACAUUCUGGACCAAUACUGACACUGAGGGACGAAAGCGUGGGGAUCAAACAGGAUUAGAUACCCUGGUAGUCCACGCUGUAAACGAUGAGUACUAGCUGUUGGAUUCGGUGUAAAGGAUCUAGUGGCGCAGCUAACGCGUUAAGUACUCCGCCUGGGGACUACGGCCGCAAGGCUAAAACUCAAAGGAAUUGACGGGGACCCGCACAAGCGGUGGAGCAUGUGGUUUAAUUCGAUGCAACGCGAAGAACCUUACCUGGUCUUGACAUCCUGCGAACUUUCUAGAGAUAGAUUGGUGCCUUCGGGAACGCAGUGACAGGUGCUGCACGGCUGUCGUCAGCUCGUGUUGUGAAAUGUUGGGUUAAGUCCCGCAACGAGCGCAACCCCUAUUGAUAGUUACCAUCAUUAAGUUGGGUACUCUAUUGAGACUGCCGCUGACAAGGCGGAGGAAGGUGGGGACGACGUCAAGUCAUCAUGGCCCUUACGACCAGGGCUACACACGUGCUACAAUGGGUAUUACAGAGGGCUGCGAAGGUGCGAGCUGGAGCGAAACUCAGAAAGGUACUCUUAGUCCGGAUUGCAGUCUGCAACUCGACUGCAUGAAGUCGGAAUCGCUAGUAAUCGCAGGUCAGAAUACUGCGGUGAAUACGUUCCCGGGUCUUGUACACACCGCCCGUCACACCAUGGGAGUGGGUUGCUCCAGAAGUAGAUAGCUUAACGAAUGGGCGUUUACCACGGAGUGAUUCAUAA
rnacentral:rRNA from 1 species